CGGAGGGAAACCGAGUCUUAACCGGGCGUUAAGUUGCAGGGUAUAGACCCGAAACCCGGUGAUCUAGCCAUGGGCAGGUUGAAGGUUGGGUAACACUAACUGGAGGACCGAACCGACUAAUGUUGAAAAAUUAGCGGAUGACCUGUGGCUGGGGGUGAAAGGCCAAUCAAACCGGGAGAUAGCUGGUUCUCCCCGAAAGCUAUUUAGGUAGCGCCUCGUGAAUUCAUCUCCGGGGGUAGAGCACUGUUUCGGCUAGGGGGCCAUCCCGGCUUACCAACCCGAUGCAAACUGCGAAUACCGGAGAAUGUUAUCACGGGAGACACACGGCGGGUGCUAACGUCCGUCGUGAAGAGGGAAACAACCCAGACCGCCAGCUAAGGUCCCAAAGUCAUGGUUAAGUGGGAAACGAUGUGGGAAGGCCCAGACAGCCAGGAUGUUGGCUUAGAAGCAGCCAUCAUUUAAAGAAAGCGUAAUAGCUCACUGGUCGAGUCGGCCUGCGCGGAAGAUGUAACGGGGCUAAACCAUGCACCGAAGCUGCGGCAGCGACGCUGAUGCGUUGUUGGGUA
rnacentral:rRNA from 1 species